AUGUAUUCGAGUGGGGAAAAGUUAUGUCAAUUUCCAAAUACCAAAUGUACACGUAAGAAUACGUUUUUGAUCCCAGAAACAUUGAAAUGCAUGAUAAUAUCUCCAAAUAAGAUGUAUUUCAUUUUUGUGAGGUGCUUUUGUACAAUGAGGCAGCUCUUUUUCAUGGCUCACCUGUCACUGGAAUUGAGCAUUUCCUGUCCUCUGCAGGCCCUGAUGUCAUCCCCAGCAUCAGCCAUCUGCCUGCCACCAGCACGGGAGGCGUCUCAGCAGCCCCCUCCCAGGGGCCUUCUUUCUCGGCUUACGGAAUGGAGGGAAAAGCGUGAACAUCGAGAAACAGCAGACAAGCGACCCCCAGGCCUAGCGAAGGAGUUGUCUUCACUGAUUGGGAGCGCCAGCCUCGAAGCC
rnacentral:lncRNA from 9 species